rnacentral:rRNA from 1 species
GAUGAACGCUGGCGGCGUGCUUAUCAAGCAAAGAUGUUUUGGGUGUUGAGCUUUGGAUAGUGGCGAACGGGUGAGUAACGCGUAGGCAAUCUGCCUUCUAGAUGGGGACAACAUCCCGAAAGGGGUGCUAAUACCGAAUGUUGUAACGACUUCGCAUGAAGUUGUUACUAAAAGUGGCCUCUGAAUAUGCUACCGCUAGAAGAUGAGCCUGCGUCUGAUUAGCUAGUUGGAGGGGUAACGGCCCACCAAGGCUUCGAUCAGUAGCCGGUCUGAGAGGAUGAACGGCCACACUGGGACUGAGACACGGCCCAGACUCCUACGGGAGGCAGCAGUGGGGAAUCUUCCGCAAUGGACGAAAGUCUGACGGAGCAACGCCGCGUGAGUGAAGAAGGUUUUCGGAUCGUAAAGCUCUUUCGUUAGGGACGAACGUGCUCUUUGUGAAUAAUGAGGAGUAAUGACGGUACCUAAAUAAGAAGCCACGGCUAACUACGUGCCAGCAGCCGCGGUAA